AACGAACGCUGGCGGCAGGCCUAACACAUGCAAGUCGAGCGCGCCCUUCGGGGUGAGCGGCGGACGGGUGAGUAACGCGUGGGAACGUGCCCUUUUCUACGGAAUAGCCUCGGGAAACUGAGAGUAAUACCGUAUACGCCCUUUGGGGGAAAGAUUUAUCGGAAAAGGAUCGGCCCGCGUUGGAUUAGGUAGUUGGUGGGGUAAUGGCCUACCAAGCCGACGAUCCAUAGCUGGUUUGAGAGGAUGAACAGCCACACUGGGACUGAGACACGGCCCAGACUCCUACGGGAGGCAGCAGUGGGGAAUCUUAGACAAUGGGGGCAACCCUGAUCUAGCCAUGCCGCGUGAGUGAUGAAGGCCUUAGGGUUGUAAAGCUCUUUCAGCUGGGAAGAUAAUGACGGUACCAGCAGAAGAAGCCCCGGCUAACUCC
rnacentral:rRNA from 1 species